rnacentral:rRNA from 1 species
UACGUAGGGUGCGAGCGUUAAUCGGAAUUACUGGGCGUAAAGGGUGCGCAGGCGGUCCUGCAAGUCAGGCGUGAAAUCCCCGGGCUUAACCUGGGAAUGGCACUUGAAACUACGGGACUGGAGUAUGGCAGAGGGAGGUGGAAUUCCACGUGUAGCGGUGAAAUGCGUAGAGAUGUGGAGGAACACCGAUGGCGAAGGCAGCCCCCUGGGUCAAGAUUGACGCUCAUGCACGAAAGCGUGGGGAGCAAACAGG